rnacentral:rRNA from 1 species
UACGUAGGGUGCAAGCGUUGUCCGGAAUUAUUGGGCGUAAAGAGCUCGUAGGCGGUCUGUCGCGUCGGCUGUGAAAUCCCGAGGCUCAACCUCGGGUCUGCAGUCGAUACGGGCAAACUGGAGUGUUGCAGGGGAGACUGGAAUUCCUGGUGUAGCGGUGAAAUGCGCAGAUAUCAGGAGGAACACCGGUGGCGAAGGCGGAUCUCUGGGCCGUAACUGACGCUGGAGGAGCGAAAGCAUGGGGAGCGAACAGG